UGGGCUGGCAUGCAGCUGUUCGUGUCAUCUCUUUUCCUCCAGCAGAAUGCCUACUACUAUCUCCCAGGACAGCAGCAUCUGCAGGAGCAGCAUCCAAGAAAGCAAGUAUAAACUCCAGACCUCCAUCUGAUACAAGCUCUCUGACCAAGCUGACCACCAGCACUAUGAAAACCCAGCCCCUGAACAACUUGAUCAACAGCUCACAAACAUCCCAGUUCCUCUAUUUCAACUAAUAUCCACAAGGGGUGAUUGGUACUCAUUGCACAGACUAGGUGACGCUUUAAUAGUUGCUCAUAUAAGUAGAGACAUGUUCGUAGAGUAUGGGGAGUGGGGAGAGGAGGUCUCCUUUGCAGGACAGCAAAGGCAAUAUUUUGUGACCCGUUGCAAGUGGACACUCACUCUCCUUG
rnacentral:lncRNA from 1 species